UUUGGUGAGACACCUCUUCUACAAUGCCAGAAACAAGUAAUGGGAUUCAAAAGGCAGGAUUUGUUCAUCACUUGCCAUGUGGAGGCACUGUCCUAGCUGCUCAGGAUGAAGGGCUUUGUGCUGACAGCUGAGAUCUGAAUCACGAGAAGGAUCCAGCCAUGGGACAACAUGUGGAUGAGUAUUUCGGGCCAAGGGGACAGCAGUGAUGAGGCAGUGACUGAGGUGGGAACCCAGGAGCUCAGUGAGAGGAGACAAGGGGCAAGAGGGAAGGAAGGAAGGAGAAAAAUGCACGGAGGGAGCAAGUCCUGUAGGGAAGUCUUUGUGAGCCAGUGGAAAGGUCUAGGAUUUGUUCUCUCUCUCUAAGUUUCCACUGCAGCACUUCAGCAGGCCUGCCAAUUGCCAGUAUCAUCAAGGUUUCUUUGUGGAGCACCUACUUCCUGUGCAAGCCUCGGAAACCAGGGCCCGGUCCUCCCAACCAGCGGCUGCUUCCUCUGAACGCCUUCAAGUCUGCCCUGUGCUUUCAGAAUCUGUCUUCAUCCAGCACCAUUGAAAACCUCAGGAGUGCACUGAACCACGUGAUGUCUGAGGACCAUUCUGGUCCUGGCAAGCAAUAAAUGACUGCUUUCAAGAAGAACACUGCCUACAGUCCUCCCCAGAAUCCGGAUGGCCCUCUGGCCACUCACGUCCACUGGGUCCCAGUGUGUGAGCACAUGCCCCUGCGAGAAGAAGUCCUGAUCACUGCCUUGUGCUGGGGAUAAAAUAUUGAUUAGGGAAUUUAAAAUUUCAAAAUGAUUCAGGAGCCCCAAAAUGGGGACAUAAUGUGCUGUGCCAAUCUACGUUAUGAGCCAUCUAUCUCCUGUCAGCAAGCAGCCAGAAACUGACAGAAUCAAUACAAACGUGUCUGAAGACAGGCUUAACUCAUUUCCUUCCCCCUGGGGCUCUGGUUGGAGUGGGACAGUCCUGAGAGAUCCACACUGAGGCCAGGACCUUCACACCCACCUGCUUGUCACUGGGAGGCAGAGCUGUGCAGUGCUGCCUAUUUUCACUGCCUCCUCUGCUGAUGCAGGUAUCUCUGCUAGUGCGUCUGGAAAUCUAAAACUUCCAUUGUCUUCUUUCCCUCUCUAACAGUCUAAAUAAGAUGUCUGGCCUGUGGCCUGGAAAUAAAAUAAUAAUAAUAGCUUUCUUAUAUUAAGCACUUGAAAUGUGCCAAGUAUCUUAAAAGAGUCAUCAUUAUUUAACUUCUCAGAGCAUCAGCUUCCCUAUCUGUGAAAGAAAGAUAAUAAUAACACCUUCCUCAUAGGAUUGAUGUAAGAAUAAGGCAGACACACGGUGACUGUAGUUAAUGCCACUGAGAGUGAUUAAAAUUGUAAAUUUUAUGGUGUGUAUAAUUUACCACAAUAAAAAAAUAACAAAAAAAGGUAAAAGCAGAUAAACUACAUCAUAUAGUGCAAAGAAAGUUCUCCAUAAAUGGCAGCUGCUGAGAAAACUGGAAUGCAGAGCUUCAGCAACCCGAAACAUGUCCAAGAUAACAGCUUCAAAGUGGCAGAACCAGCAUUUGAACACACAUCUGCCUGAUGUUGAAACCAGACCAUUGUCCUGCAAACUGCACUGUAUCACAGAGAAAGAAGAGGGGUGCUUCAUGGACAUGUCCUUGUCUGCCAGGUUCUCUUGCUGCUGCUCCCAUUUCCCCACCGGCAUCCCAGGUGCUUGCAUUACUCUGUGAGGUUAAUAAAGAUGUUAUUCCCAGGGAAUGCCCUUGCUCCUCCCUGCCUCAAACAUGGUUCUUUCCACCUGAAACAUUUAUUAAACAUGCUGAAAGGCUUAAAUAGGAAUUUAAUUUUUCUAGCUAAACAAUGGCGUGUGCAGCAGACCAAUAGAAUUACUUGUUUAAUCUUACUCUUGCACUCCUACUCAGCUUCACAUGGCUGGUUAAUCCCAGGAGCAGCAUGACAUGCCAAGAUUUAGUAUACUAAGGAGCACAUCUAUUAAAAAAAAAAAAACCUACUUAUUAUAUUAAGAAAAUGCCCAC
rnacentral:lncRNA from 1 species